UUGACUUAAGGGGCACAGACCUUGGCAGUA
rnacentral:piRNA from 1 species